UCCUGUAUCGAAAGUGAUCAUGGUGUGUGUGUUGCCAGGUCAUUGAUAGUACAGGAACAACAACCUGAGAGCGUUUUCCCGUGUUCGGAGGAUUUUCUGUUCCUUUUGAACCCUGGUGCACUCAGACA
rnacentral:snoRNA from 1 species